rnacentral:rRNA from 1 species
UACGUAGGUGGCAAGCGUUGUCCGGAAUUAUUGGGCGUAAAGCGCGCGCAGGCGGUCCUUUAAGUCAGGGGUGAAAGCCCAGAGCUCAACUCUGGAAUUGCCUUUGAAACUAGAGAACUUGGGUACGGGAGAGGUGAGUGGAAUUCCGAGUGUAGAGGUGAAAUUCGUAGAUAUUCGGAAGAACACCAGUGGCGAAGGCGGCUCACUGGCCCGUUACCGACGCUCAGGCGCGACAGCGUGGGGAGCAAACAGG